rnacentral:rRNA from 1 species
ACUUAAAUUGAAGAGUUUGAUCAUGGCUCAGAUUGAACGCUGGCGGCAGGCCUAACACAUGCAAGUCGAGCGGUAGCACAGAGAGCUUGCUCUCGGGUGACGAGCGGCGGACGGGUGAGUAAUGUCUGGGAAACUGCCUGAUGGAGGGGGAUAACUACUGGAAACGGUAGCUAAUACCGCAUAACGUCGCAAGACCAAAGUGGGGGACCUUCGGGCCUCAUGCCAUCAGAUGUGCCCAGAUGGGAUUAGCUAGUAGGUGGGGUAACGGCUCACCUAGGCGACGAUCCCUAGCUGGUCUGAGAGGAUGACCAGCCACACUGGAACUGAGACACGGUCCAGACUCCUACGGGAGGCAGCAGUGGGGAAUAUUGCACAAUGGGCGCAAGCCUGAUGCAGCCAUGCCGCGUGUGUGAAGAAGGCCUUCGGGUUGUAAAGCACUUUCAGCGGGGAGGAAGGCGUUAAGGUUAAUAACCU